AUUGAACGCUGGCGGCAUGCCUUACACAUGCAAGUCGAACGGCAGCACGGGUGCUUGCACCUGGUGGCGAGUGGCGAACGGGUGAGUAAUACAUCGGAACGUACCUUAUCGUGGGGGAUAACGCAGCGAAAGCUGUGCUAAUACCGCAUACGCCCUGAGGGGGAAAGCGGGGGAUCGCAAGACCUCGCGCGAUUAGGGCGGCCGAUGCCUGAUUAGCUAGUUGGUGGGGUAAAAGCCCACCAAGGCGACGAUCAGUAGCUGGUCUGAGAGGACGAUCAGCCACACUGGGACUGAGACACGGCCCAGACUCCUACGGGAGGCAGCAGUGGGGAAUUUUGGACAAUGGGGGCAACCCUGAUCCAGCAAUGCCGCGUGAGUGAAGAAGGCCUUCGGGUUGUAAAGCUCUUUUGUCAGGGAAGAAAUCGCACAGGCUAAUACUCUGUGUGGAUGACGGUACCGGCAUAAGAAGCACCGGCUAACUACGUGCCAGCCGCCGCCGUAA
rnacentral:rRNA from 1 species